AGAGUUUGAUCAUGGCUCAGGAUGAACGCUGGCGGCGUGCCUAAUACAUGCAAGUCGAGCGAACCACUUCGGUGGUGAGCGGCGAACGGGUGAGUAACACGUAGGUGAUCUGCCCAUCAGACGGGGACAACGAUUGGAAACGAUCGCUAAUACCGGAUAGGACGAAAGUUUAAAGGUGCUUCUGGCACCGCUGAUGGAUGAGCAUGCGGCGCAUUAGCUAGUUGGUAGGGUAAAGGCCUACCAAGGCGACGAUGCGUAGCCGACCUGAGAGGGUGAACGGCCACACUGGGACUGAGACACGGCCCAGACUCCUACGGGAGGCAGCAGUAGGGAAUCUUCGGCAAUGGGCGAAAGCCUGACCGAGCAACGCCGCGUGAAUGAUGAAGGCCUUCGGGUUGUAAAAUUCUGUUAUAAGGGAAGAACGACUUUAGUAGGAAAUGGCUAGAGUGUGACGGUACCUUAUGAGAAAGCCACGGCUAACUACGUGCCAGCAGCCGCGGUAAUACGUAGGUGGCGAGCGUUAUCCGGAAUUAUUGGGCGUAAAGAGCGCGCAGGUGGUUGAUUAAGUCUGAUGUGAAAGCCCACGGCUUAACCGUGGAGGGUCAUUGGAAACUGGUCGACUUGAGUGCAGAAGAGGGAAGUGGAAUUCCAUGUGUAGCGGUGAAAUGCGUAGAGAUAUGGAGGAACACCAGUGGCGAAGGCGGCUUCCAGGUCUGUAACUGACACUGAGGCGCGAAAGCGUGGGGAGCAAACAGGAUUAGAUACCCUGGUAGUCCACGCCGUAAACGAUGAGUGCUAAGUGUUGGGGGUCGAACCUCAGUGCUGAAGUUAACGCAUUAAGCACUCCGCCUGGGGAGUACGGUCGCAAGACUGAAACUCAAAUGAAUUGACGG
rnacentral:rRNA from 1 species